AAUGAGCUUGUCCAAUCAGAGAACUAAAUUUGUACCACAUGACCAUGGUAUUUUUCAGCGAAUACUAUGACCUAGGCAAUUUGAACCCUGGGUGUUUUACCCAGGGCCAUGGUAUUCGACUUCGAAUACCACGCUUGAGCGGGAAAUGGGCUAUUCCAUUUAAUAUCCGUACCCCCCUGUCGAGGAUACAUGUUUUUCAUUGUCAUACCCCUGAAGAAUUCCAAGCUCAAAACUGUUUACCCCUGAAGAAUUCCAAAAUUCCAAGCUCAAAACUCUUUACCCCU